AGCGAACGCUGGCGGCAGGCCUAACACAUGCAAGUCGAACGAACUCUUCGGAGUUAGUGGCGGACGGGUGAGUAACACGUGGGAACGUGCCUUUUGGUUCGGAAUAACUCAGGGAAACUUGGGCUAAUACCGAAUGUGCCCUUCGGGGGAAAGAUUUAUCGCCAUUAGAGCGGCCCGCGUCUGAUUAGGUAGUUGGUGAGGUAACGGCUCACCAAGGCGCCGAUCAGCAGCUGGUCUGAGAGGAUGCCCAGCCACACGGGGACUGAGAGACGGCCCAGACUCCUACGGGAGGCAGCAGUGGGGAAUCUUGCGCAAUGGGCGAGAGCCUGACGCAGCCAUGCCGCGUGAAUGAUGAAGGUCUUAGGAUUGUAAAAUUCUUUCGCCGGGGACGAUAAUGACGGUACCCGGAGAAGAAGCCCCGGCUAACUUCGUG
rnacentral:rRNA from 1 species